rnacentral:rRNA from 1 species
UACGUAGGGUGCAAGCGUUGUCCGGAAUUAUUGGGCGUAAAGAGCGUGUAGGCGGCCCGAUCAGUCCGCUGUGAAAGUCCAGGGCUCAACCCUGGGAUGCCGGUGGAUACUGUCGGGCUAGAGUCCGGAAGGGGCGAGUGGAAUUCCUGGUGUAGCGGUGAAAUGCGCAGAUAUCAGGAAGAACACCCGUGGCUAAGGCGGCUCUCUAGUACGGUACUGACGCUGAGACGCGAAAGCCGUGGGGAGCAAACGGG